UAAUAUACGCUUGUCUCAAAGGUUAAGCCAUGCAUGUCUAAGUACAAACAGAUUUAAUGUGAAACCGCAUAAGGCUCAGUAUAACAGCUAUAAUUUACAAGAUCAUUUAACUAGUUACUUGGAUAACUGUGGAAAAUCUAGAGCUAAUACAUGCAAAAUGCAGGAACCUCGCGGAACCUGUGCAAUUAUUAGUCAAACCAAUCGUCCUCCGUGACGCUGGAGUUGAAAUCUGGAUAAUUUUGUUGAUCGUAUGGUCUCGCACCGACGACAGAUCUUUCAAAUAUCUGCCCUAUCAACUAUUGAUGGUAGUAUAGAGGACUACCAUGGUUGCAACGGGUAACGGGGAAUCAGGGUUCGAUUCCGGAGAGGGAGCCUGAGAAAUGGCUACCACAUCCAAGGAAGGCAGCAGCGCGUAAAUUACCCAAUCCCGGCACGGGGAGGUAGUGACGAGAAUAACAUAUAGACUCUUAUGACGUCUAUAUGAUGAGUGAGCAUAAUCUCACAGAUCAGUGAGGCAGUCUGUGCAGCAGCGCGUAUCAGCUCACUAGCGUAUAUUA
rnacentral:rRNA from 1 species